CAGCACUUUCCAGAACAGGGGUGCCCCAGCCAGCGCACCGGAGCCUGCUUGGUCUGUGAGGACAUGGGGUCCUUUCUGAAGUGAGAAGCAGUGAGCCACCUCCUGGACAGCAGCUCUUCCUCAGAUGGCCCUUCUGGACUAUUCUAUGCCCAGAUGAGAAGUGUGCUUCUGAAACUGAUGACGCUUGCCUGUAUUAGCGGCCGUUUUACUUCAGCGCCGUGCUGGCUGAGAGCUGCAAAGUGUUGGCCACCAGCUGGUGGCUGAAAUCAAGAGGAAGCCAGGUCACGGUGGUGGAAGUAGGAUGAAAUAGUAGACACACGAUGUCACCAAGAGUGUAGAAGAAUUCAGCAUGGCAACUCACAGUGUGACGUGGGACCAGGAGCACAGAUCACUGAAGAGACUGUUAGAAAUGCAACUUCAGGCUGGACGUAGUGGCUCAUGCCUGUAAUCCCAAAACUUUGGGAGGCCGAAGCGGGCGGAUCACUUGAGGUCAUGAGUUUGAGACCAGCCUGGCCAACAUGGUGAAACUUCGUCUCUACUAAAAAUACAAAAAUUAGCUGGGCGUGAUGGCAUGUGCCUGUAAUCCCAAUUACUCAGGUGGCUGAAGGAUGAGAAUCGCUUGAACCCAGGAAGCGGACGUUGCAGUGAGCCGAGAUGCGCCUUUGCACUCUAGCCUGGGUGACAGAGUGAGACCCUGUCUCAAAAAAGAAAGAAAUGCGGCCGGGCGUGGUGGCUCACGCCUGUAAUCCCAGCACUUUGGGAGGCCGAAGUGGGUGGAUCACGAAGUCAAGAGAUCGAGACCAUCCUGGCCAACAGGGUGAAACCCCAUCUGUACUAAAAAUACAAAAAUUAGAUGGGCGUGGUAGCACGCACCUGUAGUCCCAGCUACUCGGGAGGCUGAGGCAGGAGAAUCACUUGAACUGGGGAGGCAGAGGUUGCAGUGAGCCAAGAUUGUGCCACUGCACUCCAGCCUGGCUAUAGAGCAAGACUCCAUCUCAAAAAAAAAAAAAAAAAAAAGAAAGAAAGAAAUUCAACUUCAAGGGUCCUACCUAGAAACCUGUUUUAACAAGCCUCCAUGUGACUCCUCUGGUGCUGAAGAAAUUCUUCACACCAUACAAUAAAAUAUCAUCUGUUACCAUGAUAGAAGAAACCGUGGCUUUCUCUGGCGACUAUAAGUACGGAUAAUGGGCCAGGGCUCCCUAGCUGGAAGGAAAGUCACUGUCCUGGGGGCAAAGCAGGUACCCAGUGACUGUCCCUGCUGAUGAUGCACCCCGAGAAGUGGAGCAGGCUGGGAUGUGUUUGACACAAAGCCCUCUUGCUGUCCUAAUCCACACCCACGCCAAUAUCCCUCAGCCUCAUUUCCUCUUGACAAAGACGGUUCUGUUCUGAGGGGGUGUGUGGGACCAACAGCAGCAGCUGGGGUGGCCAAAUGACCGCUCUUGCUUAGAAUAGAGAGGGAUUCAAAGAAUGAUCUCUGCCAGAUUGCCGGGCUUUGCUGUGUCACAUCAGGCUGACACAGAUGGCCUUGGCCACUAAGGACGCUGCCUUCUUCCUCACAGAAGCCCGAGGAAAUGCCCUGAGAAGGAACAAGGACCAGAUAACUACCCGGCAGGGAGUGGCUGGUAGGAUUUCAGCUUGAAAUGUGAUCUCUGGAUGCCCAUGAGCCAGUGUGGCAUUUAUUUCCACCGCAUCAGGGGUCCCAACCUUGGAUAACAUUUAUAUUUCUAGAGCACCUGAAGAACAAAGAUUCCAGAUUGUAAGGUGCAAAAUAAGUCACAAGGGGGUGCCUUCUCACUCACACACAGCUAGCCACAGCUGUCUGCCAUCCCAGAGCGUACCCCGAAGCUAGCGCGCCAGCGAGCUAGUUUUAAAGCACAGACAACCUCUCCAUUGCUGGCUUUCUUCGAACACCGUGGGUGAGGAAAUGAGACAGAGAAUGUCUAAUGAUUAGUUCCUUAUGGUCCUUACAUUCUUGAAGUAUAUUCUUUACGCCCGCUGGAACACUUCUGCAUUCUUGAUAGCAUGAUUGCAAUAUAAGUUCUUUCCCUUCUGAGCACUGUCUUUUAUUGACACACUAAAAUAUCCUAGGAGCAGGAUGGGUCUUCCCACCUUCCUCACGCCCCUCUUUCCCCACUGCCACACUCUCCGCGCCAUUCCUUGUUCUCUUUCUAAGAACGCAAUAAACAUUUCAGCACAAUCUUUUCAAUCCACAUUAUUUAUAAUAUUCCGAACAUCCAUC
rnacentral:lncRNA from 1 species